AACGAACGCUGGUGGCAUGCUUAAUACAUGCAAGUCUAACGGGAAAGUUGCUUCGGUGACGAGUACAGUGGCGCACGGGUGAGUAACACGUAGGUGACCUGCCUUUCAGAGUGGGAUAACAGGGAGAAGUUCCUGCUAAUACCGCAUGAUCUAAACAAAUUUGGAAGUAGUUUAGCAAAGAUGACCUCUUUACAAUGUUAUCGCUGAGAGAUGGGCCUGCGGGCCAUUAGCUAGUUGGUGGGGUAAAGGCCUACCAAGGCGAUGAUGGCUAGCCGGUCUAAGAGGAUGAUCGGCCACACUGGAACUGAGACACGGUCCAGACUCCUACGGGAGGCAGCAGUAGGGAAUAUUGCGCAAUGGGGGCAACCCUGACGCAGCAAUGCCACGUGAGUGAGGAAGGCCUUCGGGUUGUAAAGCUCUGUCCUGGGGGAAAAAUGGCUUUAGAGAUAAUACCUCUAGAGUUUGAUGGUACCCCAGAAGAAAGCACCGGCUAACUUCGUGCCAGCAGCCGCGGUAA
rnacentral:rRNA from 1 species